AUACUCGAGACCAGAUUGUGUCAUCCAUACCCACACUGAAUAGCAGUUUGCACCAGCAGUAAAUCCUGCUGCAGACAAACCAUUUCUUACGAAACAAGGUCCUGACCCAGAGCUGGAGCUGCAGUAAAUUCAGUGGACUUUUGGUCCGUCUCCAACUGGGCGAAAGUGCAGAACAAUUAAACCAGGGUGCAGUGAGAAGGCAGACGGAGCCAGUCGGUAGUUGUUUCUUUGUCCCCAGGAAAAGGCAACCCAGUAUCUUUUGUGAGAGCAACCUGACUGGCCCUUCUUGGACACUGGUUUUCAUAAGAGAACCACAAAUGGGGAAGACAAAUGCAUCUUCCUUUAUUAAAAUACCCAGAUGCAAACUUGCUGGAGUACAACUACAGGAGCUGUAUAUAUGUGUGUAGUGGUGAGUAUUUUGUAUUAUUCAUUACACCACCAAGUCCAGGGCGCCCACAGCAAGGCUCCCCGGGCUCUUCACCUUCUGAGCAGGUUGGCAGGACCUAACAGGGAUGUGAGGGUAAGUGAAGCUGCUCAUGUUGGGCAAGUAUCCAACCUCUGCAUUCAGACAAUGACACAGCUGGAUGAUGACAUCUGCAUCAGAGGAGGGAGUGUGUGUGUUGUUGGUAAUGGCUCACAGCUACAUUCUGAUUUUACCUGCUAUCUAUAUGAUGAACCAUAUUCAGGAUUUAUUUCUUCUCCGAUACCAUCCUAUUUUUAUUUGAUACUUAAGUCAAAUGUAUGCCACCUUUUUAUUAAUAUUAUGUUCUGCUACAUAUUUAUUUGCUGGAAAAUAGGAGGGUUAUCUAUAUGGUCAAGGGCCAGAGAGAAAGAUGGUUAUUUUGUAGCUAGAAUUAAUAUAAAAAUAGGGAUGUGGGUUUUUAGAGAACAAAACAGUAUGGGCCUGGCCUGAACUGGAUCGGGCCCAAUAUCCCUCUAAGGAAGAAAUAAAGGGCUUGAACCUUCUCCCACUGAUAGCAAUUACAAACCUGCAGUUGACUCUAAUAUCUGUGUGUGAUAGGGGCAUAAUAAAUUUAAGGUCUGGGAUAAUCAAGGAGGACUGUGUAACCUUCUGCUAAUGCUUCUGAAAGAUGCUCUGGAAAAAUAAUAGGCAGGCAGAGCACUGUGCUACUAGGUUAAUAAAAGAAAUGUCCAAGGCACUGACUUGCUGUAGUCAGAUAUGGCUGGUCUUGGGAGGCUGAUUAUAAUUUCACAGGGAUUUAAGAUGAAAAAAAUUGGUAAGAAAAUCUGUAGAACUGGGAGCAUGGUAACUUCAUGGGAACAUGGAGGAAUAGAGGUGAGGGAGAAAUUUUGCAAAGGUACAUGUUUGAGUUCCUGUAUCUUGCAAAAAAAGCAGCAGAAGGGCCAUUUUAACCAAAGCUUCCCCCAGCUUGAUGUCCUGUUUCUGACAGAGGCAGAGAGAUGCCCAUAGAUGGUACAGGGGCAGGGCUCCCAUUGCAGUGUGCAGUGCCAGGCUUCAGCAGCUCAGGGAUUUCACAUGAAUGAAGUA